rnacentral:rRNA from 1 species
AACGAACGCUGGCGGCAUGCCUAAUACAUGCAAGUCGAACGAGAUCUUCGGAUCUAGUGGCGCACGGGUGCGUAACGCGUGGGAAUCUGCCCUUGGGUUCCGAAUAACUUCUGGAAACGGAAGCUAAUACCGGAUGAUGACGUAAGUCCAAAGAUUUAUCGCCCAAGGAUGAGCCCGCGUAGGAUUAGCUAGUUGGUGGGGUAAAGGCCCACCAAGGCGACGAUCCUUAGCUGGUCUGAGAGGAUGAUCAGCCACACUGGGACUGAGACACGGCCCAGACUCCUACGGGAGGCAGCAGUAGGGAAUAUUAGGCAAUGAGCGAAAGCCUGAUCCAGCAAUGCCGCGGGAGUGAUGAAGGCGUUAGGGUUGUAAAGCUCUUUUACCCGGGAUGAUAAUGACAGUACCGGGAGAAGAAGCUCCGGCUAACUCCGUG